rnacentral:tRNA from 1 species
GGGCGAUUAGCUCAGCUGGUAGAGCAUCUCGUUUACACCGAGGGGGUCGGCGGUUCGAGUCCGUCAUCGCCCACCA